UGCAUGUCUAAGUACAUGCCGUAUUAAGGCGAAACCGCGAAUGGCUCAUUAAAUCAGUUAUGGUUCCUUGGAUCGUACCUUACUACUUGGAUAACUGUGGCAAUUCUAGAGCUAAUACAUGCAGCAGAGCUCCGACCCUCAGGGGACGAGCGCUUUUAUUAGACCAAAACCAAUCGGACCUCGUGUCCGUCUCUUGUGGUGACUCUGUAUAACUUUGGGCUGAUCGCACGGGCCCGUCCCGGCGACGUAUCUUUCAAGUGUCUGCCUUAUCAACUUUCGAUGGUAGGUUACGCGCCUACCAUGGUCGUAACGGGUAACGGGGAAUCAGGGUUCGAUUCCGGAGAGGGAGCCUGAGAAACGGCUACCACAUCCAAGGAAGGCAGCAGGCGCGCAAAUUACCCACUCCCAGAACGGGGAGGUAGUGACGAAAAAUAACAAUACGGGACUCUUUUGAGACCCCGUAAUUGGAAUGAGUACACUUUAAAUCCUUUAACGAGGAUCCAUUAGAGGGCAAGUCUGGUGCCAGCAGCCGCGGUAAUUCCAGCUCUAAUAGCGUAUAUUAAAGUUGUUGCGGUUAAAAAGCUCGUAGUUGGAUCUCAGUUCCAGACGGGUGGUCCUCCUUACGGUGGCUACUGCCUGUUCUGAACAGCCAGCCGGUUUCUCUUGAUGAUCUUCACCGGUUGUCUUGGGUGACCGGCAAGUUUACUUUGAAAAAAUUAGAGUGCUCAAAGCAGGCGUGACGCCUGAAUAAUGGUGCAUGGAAUAAUGGAAUAGGACCUCGGUUCUAUUUUGUUGGUUUUCGGAACACGAGGUAAUGAUUAAGAGGGACAGACGGGGGCAUUCGUAUUGCGACGCUAGAGGUGAAAUUCUUGGACCGUCGCAAGACGAACUACUG
rnacentral:rRNA from 1 species